rnacentral:rRNA from 1 species
AGUGAGUAGCUUGCUAUGAGCUGUUUUAGCGGCGGACGGGUGAGUAACGCGUGGGUAACCUGCCUCACACUGGGGGAUAACAGUUAGAAAUAGCUGCUAAUACCGCAUAAGCGCACGGUUCCGCAUGGAACAGUGUGAAAAACUCCGGUGGUACAGGAUGGACCCGCGUCUGAUUAGCUUGUUGGCAGGGUAACGGCCUACCAAGGCAACGAUCAGUAGCCGACCUGAGAGGGUGACCGGCCACAUUGGGACUGAGACACGGCCCAGACUCC